rnacentral:rRNA from 1 species
UAGUCAUAUGCUUGUCUCAAAGAUUAAGCCAUGCAUGUCUAAGUAUAAGCAAUUUAUACAGUGAAACUGCGAAUGGCUCAUUAAAUCAGUUAUCGUUUAUUUGAUAGUACCUUUACUACUUGGUAUAACCGUGGUAAUUCUAGAGCUAAUACAUGCUAAAAACCCCGACUGUUUGGAAGGGGUGUAUUUAUUAGAUAAAAAAUCAAUGCUCUUCUGAGCUCUUUGAUGAUUCAUAAUAACUUUUCGAAUCGCAUGACUUCGUGUCGGCGAUGGUUCAU